rnacentral:rRNA from 1 species
GGAGUAUGGGCCGUGUCUCAGUCCCAUUGUGGCUGAUCAUCCUCUCAAACCAGCUACUGAUCAUCGCCUUGGUGGGCUAUUACCCCGCCUACUAGCUAAUCCCGUUUGGGCUCAUCUAUCAGCUAAUGGUCUUUCGAUCCCAUUACUUUCCUCCUCAGAGCGUACGCGGUCUUAUCAACCGUUUCCAGUUGCUAUC